ACAUGCUGUCCUGUUGGAAAUUCUUCUUUACGUGAUCCUGGAGGAGGGUGAUGCUACAUUACUAAGUCCGUCUUUGGUUUGUUCCAAAUUCAGAAGUCUGCUGUACUGUAUACAGACUCCUUUCGAAAGAGGGCACAAUCCAGCUGGCUUGACGGAGUAUCUUCUUUUACAUAUUUGAUUAGAGGUUUAAAAAGGUGGAACAAAAUGGAGAACAAGUCUAAGCCAUGUCAGGAAUUCAACAAAAUGUACACCCUGCAGACACUGCGACGAGGUUUACAACAACUGCUUACCAGGUCACUGCAGUCACCCGGAUCGAGUACGUAUCCAGACCAGAUGGUGGAUCGCACCUAGAAAGGACCUCUACACCCCUGAAAGACAGCGGCGCCCCAGAUACAGAUCCCCUGUAAAGACCUUGUUUUUUCUCCAUUUUGUCACCGGUGGAGUUUUGGUUCCUUGUCGCCUCUGGCUUGCUUCGUUGUGGUCACUUCAUUUACAGUGAUAUCAUUGACAUGAUUGCAAAUGAUUCCACAGAUACUAUUUAAACUGAACCGAGCUGAAGGAUGACAUCACUGAAUUGAAUGAUAAACUGACUACAAACUGAGUUUACUAAUGUCCUUCUGCAUUAUUGACUGACACACUAUUUUCCUAUUUAAUACUGUAAAGUUUCUUUGCUUUGAUCUUGCAAGAGGAAAAUGAGGAGAGAUGCACAUCCACCCUGGGUUUUACAGUGAUUGGUGCAAGAUGCUGGAGAAGUAUCUCUGUAUACCUCAUCAGUUCUGAUCUAAGAGUCUUGAAAAUACCACCGGAUUGUUGUUAGUGAUUCUGAUUGAUAUUUUAGUCUGCUUGCUUACUGGAUAUAUUUUAUACGGUUUACAUUGUAAAGCACUGACUUUGACAACUUACUAACCCAGUUACAAAUUUAACAGCUACUUUAUACUAUAUAUAUAUAUGUAGUUGUUUCUUGAAAUACUACAAAUAUAACCGCAAAUUAUGAUUUUAAAUAAAGGUCUCUGAGACUU